CACGUAGGAGACAAGCGUUAUCCGGAUUUACUGGGUGUAAAGCGCGUGCAGGCGGUUUUGUAAGUUGGAUGUGAAAGCUCCUGGCUUAACUGGGAGAGGUCGUUCAAGACUGCAAGACUAGAGUAUGUCAGAGGAGAGUGGAAUUCCGAGUGUAGCGGUAAAAUGCAUAGAUAUUCGGAAGAACACCAGUGGCGAAGGCGGCUCUCUGGGGCAAAACUGACGCUCAGACGCGAAAGCUAGGGUAGCAAACGGG
rnacentral:rRNA from 1 species